rnacentral:rRNA from 1 species
UGUAAGCGUAUACCAAAGUUGUUGCAGUUAAAACGCUCGUAGUCGGAAUUUGGCAGUUCCGGAUGUGUGCACGUCGUGUGCGCACUUCGCGGGGAUUGCUUUUGUGGUCUUGCGUAGGAUGAGGCACUUUUAUUAGUGAACGUCCUCACGCAACCACUUUUUACCGUGAGAAAAUCAGAGUGCUCAAAGCAGGCAUUUGCCGUGAAUGUAUUAGCAUGGAAUAAUAGAAUAGGAAUUGGUUCUAUUUUGUUGGUUUGUUGGGACUGAGUAAUGAUUAAGAGGGACAGUUGGGGGCAUUUGUAUUUCGGUGCUAGAGGUGAAAUUCUUAGAUUACCGAAAGACAAACUGCUGCGAAAGCGUCUGCCAAGGAUGUUUUCAUUGA